rnacentral:ncRNA from 1 species
ACAGGCCGUCAUCCUUAGUACAGACAGACUGAUUGGGUGCUAAGAUCCAAAGUCGAGAGGGAAACAGCCCAGAGCGUACGCUAAGGUCCCUAAGCAAUCACUUAGUGGAAAAGGAAGUGAUCGAGCGAUGACAACCAGGAGGUGGGCUUGGAAGCAGCCAUCCUUUGAAGAAAGCGUAAUAGCUCACUGGUCUAGCUCCAUGGCACCGAAAAUGUCUCAGGGCU